rnacentral:rRNA from 1 species
UACGUAGGUGGCGAGCGUUGUCCGGAAUUAUUGGGCGUAAAGCGCGCGCAGGCGGUUCUUUAAGUCUGAUGUGAAAGCCCACGGCUCAACCGUGGAGGGUCAUUGGAAACUGGGGGACUUGAGUGCAGGAGAGAAGAGUGGAAUUCCACGUGUAGCGGUGAAAUGCGUAGAGAUGUGGAGGAACACCAGUGGCGAAGGCGACUCUUUGGGCUGUAACUGACGCUGAGGCGCGAAAGCGUGGGGAGCAAACAGG